rnacentral:rRNA from 1 species
UACGUAGGGUGCAGGCGUUAAUCGGAAUUACUGGGCGUAAAGCGUGCGCAGGCGGUCUUUUAAGUCAGAUGUGAAAUCCCCGGGCUUAACCUGAGAACUGCGUUUGAAACUGGAAGGCUAGAGUGUGGCAGAGGGGGGUGGAAUUCCACGUGUAGCAGUGAAAUGCGUAGAUAUGUGGAGGAACACCGAUGGCGAAGGCAGCCCCCUGGGCUAACACUGACGCUCAUGCACGAAAGCGUGGGGAGCAAACAGG